CUUUAGGAUGGACCCGCGGUGCAUUAGUUAGUUGGUGAGGUAAAGGCUCACCAAGACCGUGAUGCAUAGCCGACCUGAGAGGGUAAUCGGCCACACUGGGACUGAGACACGGCCCAGACUCCUACGGGAGGCAGCAGUAGGGAAUCUUCCACAAUGGACGAAAGUCUGAUGGAGCAACGCCGCGUGAGUGAAGAAGGUUUUCGGAUCGUAAAACUCUGUUGUUGGAGAAGAACGUAUUUGAUAGUAACUGAUCAG
rnacentral:rRNA from 1 species